rnacentral:rRNA from 1 species
GGGGAAUAUUGCACAAUGGGCGCAAGCCUGAUGCAGCGACGCCGCGUGCGGGAUGACGGCCUUCGGGUUGUAAACCGCUUUUGUUGGGGAGCAAGCCUUCGGGUGAGUGUACCCUUCGAAUAAGCACCGGCUAACUACGUGCCAGCAGCCGCGGUAAUACGUAGGGUGCAAGCGUUAUCCGGAAUUAUUGGGCGUAAAGAGCUCGUAGGCGGUUCGUCGCGUCCGGUGUGAAAGUCCAUCGCUUAACGGUGGAUCUGCGCCGGGUACGGGCGGGCUGGAGUGCGGUAGGGGAGACUGGAAUUCCCGGUGUAACGGUGGAAUGUGUAGAUAUCGGGAAGAACACCAAUGGCGAAGGCAGGUCUCUGGGCCGUUAUUGACGCUGAGGAGCGAAAGCGUGGGGAGCGAAC